AACGAACGCUGGCGGCAGGCCUAACACAUGCAAGUCGAACGUGAAGCCACCUUCGGGUGGUGGAAAGUGGCAGACGGGUGAGUAACGCGUGGGACCGUGCCUUUCGGUUCGGGAUAACCCAGGGAAACUUGGGCUAAUACCGGAUACGCCCUCCGGGGGAAAGAUUCAUUGCCGAAAGAUCGGCCCGCGUCGGAUCGGCUAGUUGGUGGGGUAAAAGCCUACCAAGGCGACGAUCCGUAGCUGGUCUGUGAGGAUGACCAGCCACACUGGGACUGGGACACGGCCCAGGCGCCUACGGGAGGCAGCAGUGGGGAAUAUUGGACAAGGGGCGCAGGCCUGAUCCAGCCAUGCCGGGGGGGUGAAGAAGGCCGUAGGGUUGUAACCCCCUUUCGGCGGGGAAGAUAAUGACGGUACCCGGAGAAGAAGCCCCGGCUAACUCCGUGCCAGCCGCCGCAGUAA
rnacentral:rRNA from 1 species